rnacentral:rRNA from 1 species
UACGAAGGGGGCUAGCGUUGUUCGGAAUUACUGGGCGUAAAGCGCACGUAGGCGGAUUGUUAAGUUAGGGGGUGAAAUCCCAGGGCUCAACCCUGGAACUGCCUUUAAUACUGGCAAUCUCGAGUCCGAGAGAGGUGAGUGGAAUUCCGAGUGUAGAGGUGAAAUUCGUAGAUAUUCGCAAGAACACCAGUGGCGAAGGCGGCUGACUGGUCCGGUUCUGACGCUGAGGCGCGAAAGCGUGGGGAGCAAACAGG